CCCGAAAGGCUUGCUGGUUGCGUCUUGAUAACGUUCCAUAAAAAAAUUUGUGUUGCCGGGAUACAUUUGUCUUCCUAGAACACUGACUUGAUUAGCAUCUCAGGGAUUUUGAAACAACAUUAGAUAAUUUGUGUUUAAGAUGAUGGUCCUACUGGCUUUCCCUUGGCAAAAUUAAUUCUGUACAAUAUAAAUAGCGCUAAGAUUUCUAUGAUGUACAUAUUGGGUAAAGACCUUCUCCACCUCGUUGCUCCCGCUGGCCUCUUUCAUCAGAUCAUCGAGGAUUAACAAAUUAACCUAUUGGCCGGAAACAGAGCAUCAUCAUUCAGAGUCUGUGUUGGCUUCUGGGGAUUAUGACGCCCACAAUAAUAUAGUAUCCUACAUAAAUUUGGCUGGGACGUUUGCUGUUAACAAGGACCAACAAACAGCCAGGAAGAUUGCCUUGGACACUGCACUGGUACUGGCUUUUUCACAGCUGGUCUGCAUUUGAGAGAACAGUUGCUAAGUGCUUGAAAACUCAACAGCCUCAAAAAAGGUUUGAAAACCCUGGGGGGUUCUGGAGGCAAUGUCGGAAAAUCCAGCUACUCUUGCAAAGGUCAUAUGUCACCCUCAGCACUACACCUACAGCAACUUCUCUGCUCUGACGGAGCCUGAAUUGAAUCUGUCGGUCUCUUCCAAAAGGAACACGGAGAACCCUCUUUAUUGAAAUUCAAG
ensembl:lncRNA